AUGUCUGCAUCAUCGUCGUCCGUCAGCCUAAAGGAGAUUUCGCCGCUCAUUCCAUGCACUGACUGCGGCGUGCAGAUCGUCACCUGGAUUGCUCAUGGUGGAUCGAACGUUGGUCAUCGGUUCUACAAGUACAUGAAUAAAGAUAAGAUUGGUCUGUGUGGAUACAUGAGGUCGAGCAAGGAGUGUCGUGCUGAGCUUAGUAACCAUUUUGGCAUGGAUCAGCAAUUCAGCAGCCAGUCCGUGCCAACCCCAUCCGAUAUCUUAUCUGAACCGAAGAGCUCGUCCAGCCAAGCAAACAAGCAAUGGAUUCGUGCAGGUGAGCUGGCACGAAAUGGUCGACUGGAGCCACAACCAUGGAGGGGUCAGGCACGUUUCAAUUAG
rnacentral:rRNA from 1 species